AUUUGGUUUCUUUUUAACUUGUGAUUUGUCUAUGAAUCUUGCCGGGUCUAAACGUGAUUUAAAGGGUAAACAAUACGAUUAUAGUAUUCCUGGCCUGGGGAGCUGUAAAGCUUAGCUCAGUUGCCAGAGGGUAUACUGAACAAAGAGGUGCUGACUUCAACCAUGAUAUGUAUGUGGUCCUGCUGCUCCCAGCUAUUCUGCCUUGGCGGGUCUAUAUGUCCACUCGACGUUGAAAAUGUUCUCUUUGACGGUCCUGAGCGAGAUGUAUCCAGACCUCCUGGGUUUGUGGAUUCUCUGUUUCCAAAAUCCUAACCACUUCCAGAAUCCCAUAAAGCUUUCUAAUUGUUUAAAAUAAGCACGGAAAAGAGACGCCUCGCACUUGGUAUUCUUGCUUGCUUAUACUACUCAAGUCUUAUCAGCAUAUCCUCCCAUGGGAUAACCAUAUAUUUCUGCUCCAAAUUAGCCUUUGAAUAUAUACAUCGCAACAAUUAUUACAAUGGCAUGUUGUUUCGUUCAAUGUGAACGAAUGAAUGAAAGAGGAAUCAUGGGAAACUUUUGAACUUGACAUUCCAGUACUUGGAAUGUUAGGUUGAAGAACAACUGGUGAAAAAGAAAACAAGCGUUAGAUGCCGAGACCAGACUUGAUCUUUUGGUACAUACAUGCUAAAGCAAAAUAUCAAAGAAAAAGAUAAAAAGUAGAUAGAUGCUUCCAGGGGAAAAAAGUUCUCUCUCCUGUAACACCAAGAACAAUCUCGAGCUCUCGAAUUUCCACAUAUUCUGGGGAAGCUCUGGUUUGGAGGCACAUUUUGCAGGGCAGCUCUCCAAAGUUUGUGAGGGCAUAGCACCGAGAGCUUGUUCGAGUUAACUAGCAAAGAGAUGAGGCCAGGAGGACCCGGAGGACCACCAGGGUGGGGCCCUCCUCGGCCGGGGCCGCCAGGAUUUCUCGGUGGCUUUUGCGAUGUCAUAGGCUCUUGUUUCAGCUUGUUGUGCUGUUGCUGGUUGAUACGAGACUGUUUCGGCGGGCCUCUAGGCCCACCAGGCCCCCCGGGACCGCCCGGCCCAUCUGGACCGCCUCACCCUUGAGCUGUCAUGCGAUGCUGGCUCGACCACACGGGAUCACUCGAACUGGCUUCUCUCAUGCCUGGUUUUUGUAUUCUGUGUGUAGUGCAAUAACCAGACUCUAUUUCUCUGUAGGAAAGGAGCGACUUAUAUGAAUUGCCCAUCUCAUGUCCGAAUUCAGUUCUCAGUUUCAACGACACAUUCAUAUAAAUUGUCUAUGGGAAUCCUUUGUUUUCGAUGAUCGGUUGUUCUAGACCAUGUAUUUGAAGUUUAUAUAAGUUAUGGAAGUCUUCAUCAAA